AGUCCUGUAAUGGAGUGACCAGAACUGUAGGCAAUACUCCAAAUGCUACCUGACCAAUGUCCCUUCAAGCUGCACAUAUACAUUCCUCUCUCCUUAUCUCACACCCUUUUAUCUCCUAAUUUUCUCUCACCUCUGUCCCUUACUCCACUCAUCUUCCGAUCACUCCAUCAUCUGUUAACAUCCAUGUCAGUCUGAAGAAGGGCCCCGAUCCGAAAC